UAAAUAUACAUCAUGUAAUAAGCGCGCUUAUCAUCAGGAAAAUAUCAAAGAAAGCUCUUCCCUUAGUUUUCUCUCCUCUCUCCCUCACUCUCUCUCGGAGGUGCUGGACCUCGAAUCCAGUAGGCUUACCAGCCUAACAGAUAAGGUGUUUCUGUUCUCUUUUCUGUUCAUUAGGUACUUUUAAUUACAUUUUAUUCAGCUAGACAAUUGGUUGUAUCUCACGUUUUAUUUUCACGUAUAUAAUAAUAAUAAUAAUAAUUUUUUAAAAUAAAUUAUCCUUACUAAGACAGGAUCCUGGAUUUGCCACUGUUUGAUGAAGGUACCAUUUGGAGAGAGAUAGAGUUUAAUGGAGGUGGCUCAUAGCUAGGUAUUGUGUUGGUUGCUGGUUUGAGGGCGUGGUGAUGGUUUUAUUUAGUAUUUUAAUUGCAGUGAAGGGUCUAGGCUGGUUCAUGGUUAUGGCUAUAGCUGCAAGACUAUUAAUGAGUGAAGGAUGGAGAGUAAGAAAAAGGGAGGGUGAUGAUGGAGGAAGAGAAGGAGAGAGGGUGGUGAUCGGGGUAUAUGUGCUCUUUAAUUUAUUGAGAGGAAUGUGUUUAUAUAGAGAGAAAAAGAGAUAGUGAAUGAGAGGGCACCUUUGUGUGAGAAUUAGUGAUCAGUUGAGCUUUGUUACGUGUGUGCGCACUCCCUCCGGUGUUAAAUAUUACUAUUUUCGCACUUAAAUAUAAGAUUUUUUUUAAUUUUAUUUAUUUAUUUAUUUUUAUAAGAUUCUUUUUAAAUUAUUUUUUGCAUUAAUGAUUUUUUUGGUUUAAAAUACUUGAUUAUUUUAUAAUAAAUAUUAUGAAUUAAAAAGAUAAAUAUAUUACGUGUAUAUUAAUAUAUAUACUAUAUGAUCUAGGUAAGGUACUUUAAGGACAUUUAUUUAAAAAUUAAAAAAUAAAUUCUAAUGUAUAAAUCUAAAGAGAGCACCAAAAAAUAAUAAGAAAUGUAAUUUUAUAUUUUUCAAUAAAAAAAUUAUACUUUUAAUUCUUUAACUUUGGACGCUUGUUUUGCAUUUGUCAUUCUAUAUUGCUUCUUCGAAUGAUUAGUGUGUGAUUGUAUGGAGAGGAGCAUGUGAUUCUAUUCUUUUGUGUGUGCUCCCGAUCGAACCACCGCGUCCAGUCAAUUCUCUUGACAUAAUCAGUUAUCAGUGACAAGUAACAAAUGCUUUCUUUCAAUUUUUCAGUGUUGACUCUAAUUCAACCAAUGCAGCGUAGCACCGUCAAGGCAAGGAGGGUAUAUAUUUGUCACAACAAAAAAUAUGACCAACUAUUCAAAGAGAUAAUGAAAGUUUUGUUUUUGAUAAAUCUCAGAAGCUGUUGAAAGCAAACUUUAAUUUAAUUUAAUACUAGUAACGUUUAGUCUUAUGUUACAUUUUUUUUUACAAUAGUCUUAUGUUACAUGACACUGACAUACAUACUCCUAUAAAGUAUUAUAAUGAUAAUGAUGUCAUUUGUAGAUGCAAAAUAUUGUAGUAAUAGCUGGCUUAAACGUACAAUUUAAAUAAAUACAUUAUUUAAAACAAUUUAUCUAGUGUAUAUAAAGAUAAAUUUGAUUUUAUAUGUUAUAUCAAUCAUUAAAAGAAUUUACGAUUUACAAUUAACCAGAACCCACCAAUUGUUUUAGAAAAUUCAGCGUCACUUCAUUCUAGUAAAGACAAACUUUACUUGACCAAUGAUGAAUGCUGCUUCAUGUAACUUUUUUGUUGUUGUUGUUGAAUAAUAUAGACUUCAUGUUACUCUGACCCUAACAGCGCAACGUGUUGAUAUUCGAGCUGUUCAUCAGAGCGUAGGGUCCUUAACUUAUAUAUACCAUCAUGCAUAUGUGUUUUGAAGAAAAAAGGUUAUAUAUAUGAUGAUACGAACUUCAUACUCACAUACCAUUUUUUUCACACAAAUAUAAAAUUCGUUAAUAUUCCAGUUAAUUCAUUCCCCACUUAAGUAACAUAUAUAUAGCACUCUUUCCCCAGUCCACUUAACAAAUAUAUAGCACUCAAUCACAAAAACAAGCUUUCACCGUUAUACACACCCACACACACAAGGACACAGACUCUUUUUUCCAUUUUCGAUCAACAAUUCACGACCUUUUCUACGCAGAAUUUUGAAUAUCUAACAAGUAACUAGUAUAGUGAUUACUUCUUUCACGCAUCAAUUAACUAUAGCCAGUAAAUUAAGUCAUAGCCUUUACGUAAGCCAUUUUGAUGAGACGCUCUUUCACUUUCAUAGUUAUGGAAAUUUAAUUAAGGGCCCACCUUAGGCAGCACUUUUGAUUUUGAGAGUGUGUAUCAAUAGAUUACCAAACAAUUAAAAAGAAGGAACACUAAUUAUGCCGGAUGGAUGAUUUAGAUGAUUGCCCCUACGCCCCUUUUGUCAUUUACAGGAAGAGUCAAUAUCACAUAUAAUUUUUUUUUCUUGUAUGGAAGUUGAUAUUUUGUGGAAAUUAAAGAGUGUUGCUGGUGGAGUGAUGGUUAAAUAGUCACAGGGUUUUACCAGAAAAAACAAUUAUGCAUUUUGAUCAAAUUCCUUAUGUUUUGGUAUUUAAAGCUGGAAUAGAAAUUAAGGUGGAGAAUUGUGUGGUGUACGUGCAAUCAUGCACAUGGUGCAUCUGAAGACAAAUCUUUGUGUUUACUUUAGAGGGGGGGUAUUUUGAUAGACAAAGGCAGAUGCAAGAAAUACUUCUUCACACAGGUCUUGGUCUUGGCUGAAGGAAAUUAAAACUACUGCACAAUUGGAAGAGGAAUAAAUAAUUAAUGGCGUGUUGUGUGGACAGUGGAGCUAGACCAUGGAAGAGGUGUUGGUAUAUAUUUAUAGCCACAACAACCCAAUGGUGAGGAAGACCUAAAAUAAAUUUAAAGAGAAAAUAUUUUACUUUAAAAGGAAAACCUAUAUGUUAAACUUUUAUGUCAAUAUAUGUGAUUUUUUUACUUUAUAAAAAUCAAUAACAAAUAUAUUUUAUUUUUUUGCUAGGAAGUCUAAAGUAUAGACUUUAUUUACUAUCCUUAGACCGACCUUGUUAGCUAGUGCGAUAUGAUUUGACUUCUUUAGAAGGUAGCUAGCUGAGAUCAUUAAUAUUUUAUAUGAUCUGCACAUCACCUUCCUAGCUACUGUACAAUAACCAUACUUUUAUGCAUAGCAAGGCAAUAUCAGCUUUUUUUGGUGCCAAGUAAGAUGAGGAAAAAGAGGAAUUAAGCAGAAGACAAUGCCAGAUUGUGAGGGUAGGAAUAAGGAAUCUAGGAUGAUAUAUAGGAUUACGUAACGAAACUUACAAGAAAUUUCAUGUUCAUUUAUAUAAUAUUUGAUUUUAGAUUACUUUCUCCCAGUCCAGCUCGUGCCUUUUUCUUCAAGUCAUCAAAUGCUUUCCACUUUCCAAAUCUAAACCUUGCGAACUCUCAUAUAAUUUCAUGUGAUAAUUUUUUGUUUACCUUAUGAUAAAUUAAUAGCCAAGUAUAUAUGUUGCUAUCGAUCACUCCCUGAAAAAUCUCAAAAUUUUCCUCUUCAAAUCUUUAUAUCUCAUAUUUUAUAAAACCCUUCAAUUUAUCAAAAAAAUUUAUGAAAAUUCUAACUUUUAAAUAUUUAAAUAUUCAAUGCAUAAAAAAAUAGUGGUGCUGGUGCAACUUGCCCUUAUUCUGGUAAAGCAUUGUAGCACAGCAGCUACAGCUAGCUUAGCUAUAACAAGCUAAAUGUUGAGCAACUUUGGUGCAAUAAUUUUGGCUCUUGGAUCCCACCACAAACCCCUUUCUCUCAUGUUUCAACACUUUAUAACAGAUCACGGUACUGCUAGUUUUUCUGAUCUAUCCACGUAGCAUGCAUUCAUGAUCAACUCUAUUUCAAAACAGCAUUAUUCAUUUUUGAAACCGUCCCCGCUAGCCAUUAUUUAACAUACUCCUUAACAGUUAACAUUAACGUUAAUUAUUAGAGAGAAAAUAAUUCCUCCAUUUUACUGCUUUCUUCAAGAAGUGCGUUAACCAACGGGGAAUUUGCAUUUGCUUCCCUAUAUAUACGAUACACUCUCAUACCAUUGCUUCCCUCAUAAUCUCAUUUCAUUCUACAUCUCACUUUUUUUCUUUUUUUAUGUUUUCCUAAAGUACCCUCUUCUCUUUUUAAUAUUUUCCUACACAACACCCCUCAUUAAAUGAGGGUUGUGUGGUCAGUUAAUACCUUGACGCACUACACACACCAACGUUUUCCCAAUAUAUAAGAGGACCUCUCGUCUUUCAUCAUCACAACAUAGCCGCUGCAUCUAAACCUACUCGGUCUCACCACCCUCCGUUUUUCAAACUCUCCAUCCUUUUCACUCAUUAAUAAACCAUGAUAGGUCCCUUUGGUCCACCAUGAACAUCAAGCAGAAGAAUUGAACUAUCUCGCAGCUGGCCAUAACCAUGAACAAGCCUAGAGCCUUCAUGCAUGGCAAAAUACUAGUUAACAGUUACAUACACAAGAAGUGUAUAUUAGACCACUGUAAAUCAGCUUACUAAACAUAUAUAUCUCUGGCAAUCAUUCACAUGGAAAUCUAAUAAUCACUUCCUUGAAUGUAACUGUUAAUGCUUGUGAUGAUGCCAGAAACAAAAGAGAUGCUGACAAGCAGUCAACAGCACGUAAUGUCGAUUCUAGGUAUCUAUGCUUUAUUAUAUAUUUUUAAUUUUUUCUUCUUUUGGUUUUACUGUGAAUUAUUGAAAUGAAAAAAUAUAUAUAUAAAGUAGAUGGUGCUACGUCAGGAUUACCUUUGAGAUACCUAGAAACUCUCUCCAAAGGACACCUCCGUCAAGUAGUAGUGAUGGAUUCAGCACAAGAGUCAGUGAGGAUAAUUUAUUUUUAUAAAAUAAUUAUUAUUAUUAUUAUCAUACAUAUGAAAAGGAAACGUGAAACAUAAUCAAUUGUACAAUAAAAUAAUUGCCGCUAAAAUCUUUAAUGGUAUUUCAUAUUGCCGCUAAAAGAAAAAACAAUUGCCACCGUAUGUCAUUGGAGUAGUGUGUUUGAUAAAAUUUAAAAGACCCAAAGAACAAAAUUUGACAAAAGGUUGAAAAAAAUGAGGGACAAAAGGAUAAAAACACUGGAAAUGAACUUGUAUUUUUUUUCCUGAAAUCAAUUAUAUGACCCAUUAGCAUGCUAUUAGUAACAAACCAUGGUAAAUAUAACAUACAAUUGGGAAUUAGCUACUAAACAUACAACUAAUCCCUAUGAUCGCUUAAAUAUUUUUAACAAAACUGUAAUAUACCAGGAGCCAUGGCAUGGACAAGCAUCAAGGGACCAAAAAAUAGGCUAAGUACAAAGAAAGUGAGAGAGUUUCUCAUUUCUAUAACCAAAUUAACGAAACCAAGAUUUUAUCUUGUUGGUAUUCUACCUUCUUUUAAUUACCACAUAAUUGAAUCUCUGUUGUCAUUUUGGCAAUGUUAGGUCUCUCUUUCUCACUCUCUGCAGUCUAGAAGGUUUUCACUCUCUUAAAAAAUGGAAAAACCAAAUUGCAAGCUUUGCAAAGUUUCUAUUCUUGUUGGCUUCUCUGUUUUUUUAGUGGAGAAGGAAGUGGCAAGCUAGUAGUACCCUGUUCGCAAGGGCUGACUGGCCUUUUAUCAAAUUUGAA
rnacentral:lncRNA from 1 species